rnacentral:lncRNA from 1 species
AUGUAUAUACAUUCCCCAGGGAGCUCAAUAAAUUGCAGAUUUUGGUUCAGGAGCUCUGGGGUGGGACCAGAGACGCUGCAUUGCCGAAGCCCCCAGGAGAUGCCCAUGCUGCUGAUUCGAGACCACUCUCGGAGAAGGCAGGCUCCAGACAACUCUUUUAAAAAGAAAUCUACGCAAAUACAGUAUAACUUGCUUUGUCAUCAUUUCAGGAAAUUGAAUGGCAUUGGGAUAACAAAACCCAAACUACUUGCUUUGCAAAUGGAAAGGGAGAGAAUGAGCCGAUUUAAAGCUUCAAGGACUCUUUUUAAGGACAACUUGAAUUACUGCCCCCACCCCUGGUGUCCAGCCAUCAGGAGUCACCUAUGUGGAUACACUCUCCAGCACGACCUCAACUGGAGACUCGCUCCAUACUCCUUCGCCCAGGAUUUUCUCCAAGCUGUGAAUUACAAGCAAGGGGAAGUGAAGAGGAAUUCAACGCACAAAAUGAAGCACCUAUUUUGCAGCUCUCUUUUGUAGGAUAGGUCCAAUUCCAAACAGCUCUCCCAAUCUGAAAUGGCAGCAACAAGAACCAAAAGUAGUUUGCCUCACGUCACAUAGAUGGCAGUUGUAUGUUGAGAAAACAAGUAAAAUAUUCAUGCCACAAGAGAGUGACUUUUGCGGACUGAAAGCAGCAUACACUGGGAAAUGCUUAUUUCAGCGAGAGUUUCUGCUUUGGACUCAAUGCCCUGAGAAAAACAACCAGAAGGUAAGAAAUAGGUCGUCCUAAUAGCUGUUUUAUUUAUUCCUCUUAUUCUCCUAUUGGAUCAAAUUUUCUUGCAAACUCCUUUGUAGGUGAAAGUUUAUUUUAGUGGGCACUUCCUUUGUUGAAGCUGCUUUUCAGCAAGGAACAGGGUGGAUUAAUCUACCGUCUUCCUAAUUGCUCUGUGAAGGCUUCAUUUCUCCCUAAUCUCGCUGUAGCUUCUUAAGAAAUGAGGCACUUACAUAUCCCAAGGGGGUAAAUGGAGAUUUCUGAUGCAGAGGGUAAAGUAGAGAGUUUGCUGCAUUAAUCAUUGAAUAACAUCAAUC